rnacentral:rRNA from 1 species
CGGAGUGGCGGACGGGUGGAGGAAUACAUCGGAAUCUACUCUGUCGUGGGGGAGUAACGUAGGGAAACUUACGCUAAUACCGCAUACGACCUACGGGUGAAAGCAGGGAUCUUCGGACCUUGCGCGAUUGAAUUAGCCGAUGUCGGAUUAGCUAGUUGGCGGGGUAAAGGCCCACCAAGGCGACGAUCCGUAGCUGGUCUGAGAGGAUGAUCAGUCACACUGGAACUGAGACACGGUCCAGACUCCUACGGGAGGCAGCAGGC